AUUAGUGUGUCCUGCCAUUGUCUGGAGGUGACAAGACGUGGCCUCUCUAACCGAUGGGUUUACAGGAGUAUCCCAGCCAGUCUCUGCCCUGUGACUGUCCCUCUGAGACGACAGUGGAUCAAGGACUCCUGUCCUUGUCUCUCCAGGUAACCUGUUCCUCCAGGCUGUGCACUGGAAUGACAUCAUUUCUGUCUCAUCCCUAGGUCCAAUACUAGAUCACUCUGUGGGUUUUCAGUCAUAAUACUGAAAAGUAUAAUCAUUUCACAGUUCUCUACUCCCUAGGAUAAAUUGGGGUUCACUUCAAAGUUGUUUAUAAAUGAUUCAUACUCUACUUUUA
ensembl:lincRNA Gm42812 predicted gene 42812